CCUCGUCCACCGUAGUAGGAAGCAUCCACCGUGGGCCACUUCUUGGAAGGCAAGGGCUCCUGUUCUUCUUCCUGAAGGCUCAUCAUAUGAAACACAGUGGAGGAAGCCCAGACUGUGAGGGUGCAGAGGGAGGCUGAGAUUCCCUGCCCUUGGACAGCCAGGAGCCCGAUGGACCUCCCCAGGUUCCAAGGGCUGCAGCAC